AGUGAACGCUGGCGGUAGGCCUAACACAUGCAAGUCGAACGGCAGCACAGUAAGAGCUUGCUCUUACGGGUGGCGAGUGGCGGACGGGUGAGGAAUACAUCGGAAUCUACUUUUUCGUGGGGGAUAACGUAGGGAAACUUACGCUAAUACCGCAUACGACCUACGGGUGAAAGCAGGGGAUCUUCGGACCUUGCGCGAUUGAAUGAGCCGAUGUCGGAUUAGCUAGUUGGCGGGGUAAAGGCCCACCAAGGCGACGAUCCGUGGCUGGUCUGAGAGGAUGAUCAGCCACACUGGAACUGAGACACGGUCCAGACUCCUACGGGAGGCAGCAGUGGGGAAUAUUGGACAAUGGGCGCAAGCCUGAUCCAGCUAUACCGCGUGGGUGAAGAAGGCCUUCGGGUUGUAAAGCCCUUUUGUUGGGAAAGAAAAGCAGCAGGUUAAUACCCCGCUGUUCUGACGGUACCCAAAGAAUAAGCACCGGCUAACUUCGUG
rnacentral:rRNA from 1 species